rnacentral:piRNA from 1 species
UGCUGUGUGAAGCACCCAGUGAGGCUAA